AGUGAACGCUGGCGGCAGGCCUAACACAUGCAAGUCGAGCGGCAGCGGGUCCCCGCGAGGGGAUGCCGGCGAGCGGCGGACGGGUGAGGAACACAUCGGAAUCUGCCUGGUUGUGGGGGAUAACGUAGGGAAACUUACGCUAAUACCGCAUGAGACCCUGAGUCGACGGACUGGGGGUGAAAGUGAGGGACCUUCGGGCCGUCACGCGACCAGAUGAGCCGAUGUCGGAUUAGCUAGUUGGCGGGGUAACGGCCCGCCAAGGCGACGAUCCGUAGCUGGUCUGAGAGGAUGAUCAGCCACACUGGGACUGAGACACGGCCCAGACUCCUACGGGAGGCAGCAGUGGGGAAUCUUGGACAAUGGGCGCAAGCCUGAUCCAGCCAUGCCGCGUGGGUGAAGAAGG
rnacentral:rRNA from 1 species